AGAGGGUUCGGCCCUCGGCUGACGGCUCAGUAACACGUGGAUAAUCUGCCCUUAGGUGGAGGAUAAUCUCGGGAAACUGAGGAUAAUACUCCAUAGAUUUAGGAUGCUGGGAUGCAUCUAGAUUGAAAGCUCCGGCGCCUAAGGAUGAGUCUGCGGACUAUCAGGUUGUAGUCAGGGUAAAGACCUGACUAGCCUACGACGGAUACGGGUUGUGAGAGCAAUAACCCGGAGACGAUAUCUGAGACACGAUAUCGGGCCCUACGGGGCGCAGCAGGCGCGAAGACUUCACACUGUGCGAAAGCGCGAUGAGGGAAUCCCAAGUGUUUGCUCGUUAGAGUAAACUGUUUCUUUGUUUAAAACGCAGAGAGAGUAAGGGCUGGGUAAGACGGGUGCCAGCCGCCGCGGUAAUACCUGCAGCUCAAGUGGUGAUCAUUAUUAUUGGGCCUAAAACGUCCGUAGCCGGUUUAGUAAAUGCCUGGGUAAAUCGUGUAGCUUAACUAUACGACUUCCGGGUAGACUGCUAAACUUGAGACCGGGAGAGGCUAGAGGCACUCCUGGGGUAGAGGUGAAAUUCUGUAAUCCUAGGGGGACCACCAGUGGCGAAGGCGUCUAGCUAGAACGGGUCUGACGGUGAGGGACGAAGCCCU
rnacentral:rRNA from 1 species